rnacentral:rRNA from 1 species
AGAAUCAACGCUGGCGGCGUGCCUAACACAUGCAAGUCGCACGAGAAAGGGGAGCAAUCCCUGAGUACAGUGGCGCACGGGUGAGUAACACGUGAAUAAUCUACCUCCGAGUGGGGAAUAACUGAAAGAAAUCUUAGCUAAUACCGCAUAACACUUACGAGUCAAAGCAGCAAUGCGCUUGGAGAGGAGUUCGCGGCCGAUUAGUUAGUUGGCGGGGUAAUGGCCCACCAAGACGAUGAUCGGUA